CUUCGGUUAUGCCUGUUGUACUCUGUGAUGACUCUGGAUAACUUCACUGAUCGCAGUCGGCCUUGUGUCGGCGACGGAUCUUUCAAAUGUCUGCCCUAUCAACUGUCGAUGGUAGGUGACCUGCCUACCAUGGUGAUAACGGGUAACGGGGAAUCAGGGUUCGAUUCCGGAGAGGGAGCCUGAGAAACGGCUACCACUUCUAAGGAAGGCAGCAGGCGCGAAAAUUACCCACUCCCGGCACGGGGAGGUAGUGACGAAAAAUACGAAUACGGGACUCAACUGAGGCUCCGUAAUUCGAAUGAGUACACUUUAAAUCCUUUAACGAGGACCAAUUGGAGGGCAAGUCUGGUGCCAGCAGCCGCGGUAACUCCAGCUCCAAAAGCGUAUAUUAAAGUUGCUGCAGUUAAAAAGCUCGUAGUUGGAUCUGGGUGGUGUGGCGACAUGCCGUUGCUCGUGCUACUGCCUAGACUACGGUCUUGGUGGGAGUGCGGGUCGGUGUAGUUGCCGUGCAACC
rnacentral:rRNA from 1 species